rnacentral:rRNA from 1 species
UGAGGAAUAUUCCGCAAUGGACGAAAGUCUGACGGAGCAACGCCGCGUGAGUGAUGAAGGUUUUCGGACUGUAAAGCUCUGUUGUUUAGGACGAAAGUGCCUGUUGCGAACAGUUACAGGUAUUGACGGUACUAAACGAGGAAGCCACGGCUAACUACGUGCCAGCAGCCGCGGUAAUACGUAGGUGGCAAGCGUUGUCCGGAAUUAUUGGGCGUAAAGAGCAUGUAGGCGGAGAUUUAAGUCUGUUGUGAAAAUGCGGGGCUCAACC